GUCCUUGGUGGGGUCAUUUUGAUGCUCAAAUGUGCAAAGGCAGCAAGAACGGGACUAUUAUUAGACCUUCCCAGCAUCCCAGUUACUGGCCACAUGAUCCAGCACUUUGCUGUCACGGCGAGAGCCUCAUCCCAGCUCUCAGAGACACUAAUGUGGCAUUUCUGAAAACCUUUCCCCACUGGUGCAUACGAUCACGGCACUCCGAUUAUCUUUAAUUUCCAUAGGCAAUUAAUCUUCUUUGUCUUUCUUCUUUUUUUUCUUUCUUUCUUCUUUUUUUAAUUUAUUGCAUGUGGCCAGUUCCCAGCCUUUCUUGCUGUUUGGAAUCUGUGAAUCGUUUGGGCGCAUGUGGAAGGCUGGCUUUUAUGCCCUAAGUUUUUGCUGAAAGCUGGGACAGCAGGGAUAGCUAAUGAGAAUCCUCCCCACUUAUUUCUUUUUUGGGUACUGUAAUUCUUAGGCACAUGGCAAGAGGUUUCUCUGGGAAACUUGGAGAGAUAGCUUGUUGGUGACCCAAUUUCAGAGCAUCUCAGAGUGCUGCCACCUGGCUGACUCCACAUCUCAGUCAGUGGGACUGAGCAGCAUCUGUUCCCAGGUUUCUGGCAGGUUUGGGGGCACAUGUGACAGGCAUGAGUCCUCCAGCCCUUGUCAAGCUGAAGACAUGAGACCCAGUGGACAGGGGACAGGGACAAUGGCGGUAGACUAUGCAUGCUAAGCCUAGGACUGGGCUUUACGACAAGAGGUUACAAGCUGCUCAUUUGGUGGCUGAAGUAUGUGUGGCUCUUGGAGACAAGGACGUUUGAUUCUUUUGCCAGCUCUGUUCUUCAUAUUCUCUGUGGGGAGUCCCAGAGCCACUUCAAGGUUUUUUUUCCCUAAAACUGUCAGCUCUUACCAGUCCCUAAAACUGUCUGCUGUUCAGGAAAGCCCCAGCUAAAAUGCAAGCUCCUCAGAGGCAGGGAUGUUUGUGGAUUCUGUUCUCUGGUAUAUCCCCAAGGCUCAGGACAGUGCAGACAAACAAAGAUGCUUGUCAUCCACUGAUUGGAACCAGCAGAGCCAAGGAACCAGGAAGAGACAUCAGUUUUGGAAGAAGUCUUUGGAGUUUAGUGUCCUGGAACCAAGAUGCUGUGCAUAAGGAUGGACUCACUCUCCUGAUGUUAGAUGCCUUCCUCUACACAGGAGGACCCAAGCUCACAUCUCCACCACUCUAAGGACAACAGAGGAUGUGUAUUUCAAAUUACCUACACAAUGGUGCCUUUCCAAUAGAAUCCACCAAUGCUGUUGCCUUAGUCUCCCUUGAAGACAAGUUUCCCAUGGAACAGGCUGCAAAGGAGCCAUAGUACCUGUGUGCUUGACUCUUGGCAACUCUCUUGAAGUGGCACACGGGAAAGUGCUGGAGCCCUGUCCCCACAUGCAAAGCUGCUUCCCAGGGGGCUCAUUCAAAGCAACAUCCCAUGUACUGCCCCAGGACCCAAGCGGUCCCAUCCGGAUAUUCCUCUCUCCUGGUGUUGCUGACACACGGCCAGGUCCCCAGGGCCGGGUGUUGACUCCGAUGCUCCACUGGGUCACUUUGUCAGUGUUGAACCUGGCACCAUGUGCCCUGGCUGCCCAGAGGUUGGAAGAAGUGUCUGAAAGCUGCUUCCACACUUGGCUUUCUCCUUGGAAAAUUCUGGGUUGCUCCCUACCACCAAGUAGGCUGGCCGCCUGCUCGGCCUCCCAGCAUCUUCCUGCCUGAGGGGGCCGCUCCCUCCUGGAGCCAGUCCUUGGCUGAAUGGACACCCACACUUCUUUUCAAAUCUCAUAAACUUGGUCUUGACAUGAGAACACUUUUGUGAGUACUCUCACAAAUGCGAGUACUCUCUAAGGGGCUGCUCUGUAAACUGGCUACCCCCUAAUGGGGGAUGAGCCAAGGUCAGGAUAGCCAAACAGGGCUUCUAGAGCUCUGGACAGGAUUCUGUUGUAAAAACAGAGAACUCUUUGCAUGGUGUGCUGAGGCCUUCCAUAAACUUCUCUCCCUGCCUUGCAUCCCCGCAUCCCAUCAUGUAGACCCCCCCACCACAUUUGGGCAUCCCACAGCAUGGAGGCAUCGUUCCCAUGAGAAUGCAUUUCAGUCCUAUAAAACCCAGUCCCAGACUCCCUGCUAAGUUCUUUGUCCCCCUGGGGCUGUUCCUUGCUCUGAAACAUGGCAGCAGAUGUCUGAACCUCCGGGCUGCCAUGCUGCACAUGCUAAUUCUCAGCCAUUAUUUCCAACCAACACGUACUGGGGUAGUAAUCGCCAUCAGCACUGCCCUUCAGUAAGUCCUCACAAUAUGCUGACUAGGUCGGCUACCUUCAUGUGUCAACUUGGCUGAGGAAGGUGGCCUGAGACGGGGCCAAACAUUACGCAGGAUGUUUCUGUAAGAGUGGUUUUCAGAUGAGACUAACAUUUUAACUCAGUAUUCUGUGAGAAAAGCAGGGUGCCCUCCAUAGAGUGGGUGGGCCCUGGGCAAUCGGUUCAGGGCCUGAAUGGAACAAGAGAAUGACCUCCACACAGAGGGUGUCUUUCCAGUAGUCAUCCCCUAGUCUUGAACUUCAAAAUCAGACUCCUCACUGUGUCUCCAGCUGCCAGACCACCCUGCACACUAGACUUGCCAGCCUCUUUAAUUGUGUGGCCAUUUUUCCAGAAAGCCCAGACUAAUACAGCGAGGGAGCCAGGGCAGUCAAGAGAAAUGUUAUGAUGUGGAAAGGGAAGGAGGAACGGAGUGUCCUCAGAGUACAGAUGACCCUCUCACCCAGUGUCACAGAUAGAGGAGUACUUUGCCAUCUUACCUAGUGGAUGCGUGUUUGGACUGAGCUGCCAGGCACACAGCUGGUGUGGACAUUAUUGCUUCUGUGUGAUAUCAACACUUCUAGGGCGCCGCACUGUGGGCUGACCUCCUGGAAGAUCCCUCAGAUGACUUGUGCAAACAGCCUUCCAAAAUCAAUAGACUGCAAAAAUCUAUCUGGCUUGUGAAAUCUUCCUUGGUCCCCUUCACAUCCAUCAAUCCUUCCCCAACCCCCACCCCAGCAUUUAAGACUCCCUCUGGGCUGGGCUGUUUGGUAGGAGCAUUGCAGGCCUGGAGGCUGGCAGGUCAGUAGAUAGCUGCAGUGAAUUGAUAUGAGAGGUGAGUUGUAAAAUAUAAAAAUAAAAACAGAGCCGAGGCAGCUAUUUGGGAAUCCUUCUAGGCCUGUCGUGUUUAUAGCAGUGUGAGCCCUCCACGAAGAGCUAGCUGCUCCCCUGCUUUGUUGUGGCCGUGGAGGGUUGCACUGGUUACUGUGUGGCUCUUGCUCCACAAUGUCAACGUCAUUUAUAGAGCAAAUGCUAUGUGCUGGGCAUGGUUCUCCAAACCUCAGACUCAGUUAGCCCCAGCCCUGAAAGCAUUGGCCCUGCUUUACAAAGGACAGUACUGAGGCUUGGAGGGGUAAUGGACUUGCCCAAGUCAGUCAUUGCCCCAGGGCUUCGCUAGGAUCCAGUUCUUUACUAUCUUCCUUUGCAGUAUGGGCCCAGUUCCUAUGCCAGGACCACUCCACUAAAACCAGGUUAGAAUCUUGGCAUUUAUCACAUCCCUGACAUCAGGCCUUAUGCCCAGGCUCUCCUUGAUGCCCUUACCCAUCAGGGAAGCUGCAGUGUUUCUGUCUCCAUGGCUUCUGGCAGCAGGUGAUAAUGAGGUGUUCCCAUCUAAUGAGGAGAAUGAGCCUUGAGUGUCCCACACCUGCCCCUAUGGUCAGGGUGUAAUAAGUACUGAAUCUGGGAUGUGGCUUGAAUGAGAAAUAAUCCCCAGGACCUUGGAUAUUUGAACACUGGCCCCUCCCUCCACUGGUGGUGCUGUUUGGGGUGGGUUAGGAAGUACAGCAUUGCAGGAAACCUGUCACUAGGGGUGGGCUUUGAGCUUAUAUAGCCUCAUCCCAUUUCCAGUUCCCUCUCUAUGCUUUGUGCUGCUUUUGAAGAGGUGAGCUCUUAGCUGCCUGUUCCUGCUGCCAUGCCUGUGGUUUGUGGCUCUGCUUCCCAUCUAUGAUGGACUCUUACCUCUUAUGACUUUGGAGUCGUAAGCCAAAUUUAAACUCUUUCUUCCUUAAAUUUUCUUGGCCAUGGUGUUUUAUUAUAGCAACAGAAAAGUAACUUACUACAAUGAUGAGUCCUCUUUUCUGCCAGCCUCAAGGUAAGUCAGGUUCCCAGGCAAUAAUAGCACCCGGAGCAUUCUUACCUCGAAUCUAGGGAAGCAGCUCCUCCUCCGCGUUGGGUCUGUGUAUACAGCCAGCUCUGGCAGGGAAUUGAAAACACUCAUGCUAAGAACGAAAAGCAUGCUGCAGUGUUUAUGGAAAAUGAGAUGCGCUUGGGAUUCAAAACUGCCGUGCGGAGAGAACCAAUGGAACUCGUGAGAUGGGAGCGAGAAGAGACGCCAAACCCAGAGUCUGGAGAGCUGGGUGCCCAGGCAGCCCUCGCCUCCCCAUCACGAAGGUGCAUGAAGUGGUCUGGCUUUCACAGGACACCUCCGUUUGGUUUUGUCUGUGACCCGAAGGCUAGUGAAGAAGCAAUAGUCAAGCUGGACUCAGGUUUUAUGUUUGGAUCCAGAAUGUCCUUAGCAGAAUUUCAGGUCUUAAUAACACAUUUGGAGGAGUGCUAGGGAUGGGACCCAAGGCCUCAUUCAUGUCAAGCCCAGAUGCUUUUAAAUAUCACGUUUCAUAAUAACUACCAUUUUUAAAAUUAACUGUUGAAGUCGGGAGCUAUGGAGUAAAAGGUUUCAGAAGCCAAUAGAUACCGCUGUUAGCAGUCCUGAGGACACACGGAGAGACUGAGUGUGAGUGGCAUCUAGGAUGUAUGCAGGCUAGCCCUGGAGUGGGCCUCAUGUUCCUGGGACAGGAGUACAUAACAUGUGAUAGUUUGUCUUGGUUAUCAGGUUGACAAGAUCUCAAGUCAACUAGGAUACUAGUCUCUGGCAUGCCUGUGAGAGGUUGUCUAGAGUGGGUUAACUGAGGUGAGGAGACUCGUCCUAAAUGAGGGCAUCAUGACCCCAUGGGCUAGGGUCCUGAGCUGAAUUAAAAGCACAGGGAGCAGCUGCCUUUGUCUCCCUGCUUCCUUGAUCACAGGCAGGAUGUGAGCUGCCUCUCGCUCCUCCUACCAUAACGAACUGUGCUCCAGAACUGGGAGCUGAAAUACCCCUCCCCCACCACCACACACACACACUAGUUCCUAAAGUAUCUGUGUCAGGGGUUUCAUCACGGCAACAACAAAAUGUAACCACUACACAUGCCCACCGGAGAGCAUCCCCUCCUGCCUCCAAAGGACCAGUACCACCCGGAAGAAGACAGAGUGCCAGACAGGGGGCCUGCAGGGCAGGUAGCAUGUGAAACACAGGAGGCCAACGUGGAGGAGGAGGCUCGUAUGCAGGAGCUGAAGGAUGGGAUGACAGGACUGAGGCAGACCUCAGGGAGAAUGAGUCACUGGUUACUCAGAUGGAGCGGGGCUCAGACUACAAGACUCACUAGCAGAGCAGGCAGAGGUCUGGGUUGGGCAGGGCACUGGGACUUAGUGUCAGGCAACAGAAGUUUGGCUUUUGAUCCGGUGCCCUCAGGAACAGAGUUCCUUCUUGACUCCUGCUUCACAGUCAUCAACUGCCCAUCAUGUUAUUCAGGCCCCCCGUGGAGUCACCUUGAUGUCAUCUUUAGUUCCCCUCCUCCAGCUCACCCCCUGCAGGCUGGCAGGUUCUGUCUGCUCCAUUCUCAGACAUCCCCAACCAACCCCCUUCCCCUGUCCAGCGUUCAUCCUGGCCGAAGACUCCGCAGUCUCUUCUCUGUAGCGGCCUCCUCAGCUGCUCCAGCUUCCACAUACCCCGGAAGUCAACACGACUUUUGAACUCUAACCUAGACCAAGCAAUUUCCUAAAAUGCUCUAGUAGCUUCCCUCUGUCCUAGGGUUGAAACCCAAUUCCUAACAUGGCUUUGCACUCCUUAGGCUAGUACUUUUGUUUCUAUCCCCCACGGCCCCUCUAGACACAGCGACUGCUCAGCCCAGGCUUACCUCUGCUGGGAAAACGCCUCCCUGACUCUUGGUUUAGCUCACUCAUCUCGGAUCUCCAUCCUGUCCUACCAGGGCUUUCCCUACUCAGGAAAGCAGUCCCUCCCCCAACCCUGCUCCAGCUCCUACCGGCAUGGAUUAUUACAUUUACUUCACGCGAUUGUUGUAGUAUUAUUGAUUCAUUUAUUUGGAGUCAUCCACUAGGGCUCAGCUCUUAAAAGUAAAGACUUGAUCUGAUUCCUGGUAGAAACUGAGGUCCUAAGAAAGAGCUGGGCCCUGGGACCUGAGAAUCCAUGAGCCAACAGGUGAAGUCCCUGGACCCCUUCUUAGAAUAAUGCUUUUAAAUAAAUGUUUUAAAAAAUACCAAUGUUUUAAAAUAAAUCACCAAGGAUUGGAAAGGAAACCAAGCAUAGGUAAACAUA